AAUGAACGCUGGCGGCGUGGUUAAGACAUGCAAGUCGAACGGUUUUUUUGGUGUAGCAAUAUAUUGAAAAGGCAGUGGCGAACGGGUGCGUAACACGUGAACAAUCUACCUUUUAGUGGGGAAUAGCUCGUCGAAAGGCGAAUUAAUACCGCAUAUGAUUGAUGCUCUCCUGAGUGUCAUAUCAAAGUCGGGGACCGCAAGGCCCGACGCUAGAAGAGGAGUUCGCGGCCUAUCAGCUAGUUGGUGAGGUAACGGCCCACCAAGGCUAAGACGGGUAGACGGUCUGAGAGGAUGAUCGGCCACACUGGAAAUGAGACACGGUCCAGAAACCUACGGGUGGCAGCAGUUUCGAAUCAUUCACAAUGGGCGAAAGCCUGAUGGUGCGACGCCGCGUGAGGGAUGAAGGUCUUCGGAUUGUAAACCUCUGUCACUGGGGAAGAAACGCUGAAUCCUAAUACGAUUCAGCCUGACUUAACCCGGAGAGGAAGCAGUGGCUAACUCUGUGCCAGCCGCCGCCGUAA
rnacentral:rRNA from 1 species